UUUGGUAGAGAAGGGGCAGGGAACAGAACUUUCGCCCCCCCGCCUGAGCGCCUGGUAGACUAGAUAUCUUCCAAACAUUAUCUCAUUUACUUCCCUGGAGUUACAAAUAGGUAGAUUUCAUGUCCGUUGAGGGAUGAGAAAGCUGAAACUUUGAGACUUAAGAAUCCUGGCCGAGGUCAGCCUCCUCCGAAGCUUCAUCUCUUGCCACCACUUUCUGGUGCACACCUACGACAGAUUUCAAUCCCUGAGAUCCCAGGAUGAAACCUAUGUUUGCCAAAUACCAGCUACUGUGCCAGAAGAGAUCAUGGAACCAGGUGUGGCAACCUGCUUGAGAAGAGGAGCCAAAACAUCAUAGUUGAACCGUCCUGGAAUAGAAACUCGCCCUGAAUUCUUUCUUGUGUGAAAUCCAAGAACCCUCUCUUGGGGUCUGGAUCGGGACCCUGUUCCUGUAACAAGUCCACAAUGCCAGAGAAUUAAAGAGAACCACAAAGCUGAACCUCAAAAAGUUAGCCUGGUGAGGCUGGAGGAUGAUGAGAUUUCCCCUCUUGUCACAUAAACAAGGAAGUAAAGGAGGCCCCUUGUGCUCUCAGAACUCCAAGCAUGAAACAAUUGCAAAGGGAAAAACAGCUAAGUGUUUCCUGGCUGAAUUUUAUUUUGCUUUCAGUUUCUGCCAUUUCAGUUCCUGUUAUCAUGCUUCCAGGUGCACUGAACUGCAGCAAACCCAGGGGAUCCAAGGCUAUGUUGAAAAGCCUUUGACCGCAGUGCAGGGAGCAGAAGACAUUAAUGACGUGAUGUUGACGCAGCCCGCACUCAGGAUCCUCCAGAAAAAGAACACAGAGAUAACCCCAGAUCGAUGGUACUUUUUGAAAAUGCCUUACUGCAAAAGAGUGGCUAGGGUUUUACAAGGGCUGUGAAGAAACAUAUUAAGGUUAAUAAAGCUUUUUAUUGAGUGUUUA
rnacentral:antisense_RNA from 1 species